UGUCUUCGGCAGCUGAGAUAUCAGACUUACCGUGGGCUCUUAGAUAAGCUUCAGGCAUAAAUUUGGUAAUUUAGUUAGUUCUAGGUCUAAUAGAGUAAGGACAAUUAAGUAAUUCUCCACCAUAAAAAAUCGUGGGUAUUUCGUAAUAACUCUAGAAAGCGAGGCGAAAUUUGAGAGGAAAAACCAAAACUGGUGCGCUUUGGUUGGUUGUAUCGCCGGGUCCUCUAUUUUCCUUUCACUUCUUCCCCCCUAUAAAAACGGUCUUUUGAAGAAAGAAGAGAAGCAGUACCACUACCUACUCUGCUAUUAUACAACAGUCACCAAACCACACCAACGAUAACUGCUCCUUGAGCGUUAGGUGAAAGGAUCCAUUUCAUUUCAUUUCAAGCUUUUGUUUGUUAAGUCAGUGACUCAGAUUUUUACAAGAAUAUCCUUUUCAUCAUAUUCAUCUACCUUCCAGUCACCUUUCGGUCCAACAUUUUAUUCGUCAUGAAUUUUCAUCAGCCACCUCAACCAUACAAGUGCCUCUUUUUCUAGAAUCCUACAGCAAGGAACUACUUAUACCAGGGAAUAUUUUUAUCGUAUCCCAAAAUAUUUAAACAGAGUAGAUUACAUAUUUUUAACUCACUACAGCAUACAUAGUGUAAAGAAAUUAUAAAUCACAAAUUUUAAAUAAGUGAUUUUUUAUUUGGUAUAUAAAUCAAUCUCAACUAUUUACACUUGUUUUCAUUGGAUCAUAUAAUAUUUGUUAAAUUUAUUUUGUUCAGAAUCAAAAUCGAAUAGAAACUAUAUCAAUUGAUUUCAAAAUCUUAACAAGAACUAUGAUUAUAUAACAAAUGAAGUUCUCAUUUCAUAAACAUUUCUUUAAUUGGUGAUGUACAAUUUGAAAUUUCUAUUUUGCCUUUUUUCUCUGAACAGUUCAAAUUUUUCAAUCGAAUAACUUUAUUCAAAUAAUUAUUUUGUAAAAUAGAUCUCUAAAAGAAAGAAUUGUUCAAUAUAAAUUUAAAUAACUUAUAAAAUCACCAUUAUAUUAUAUUAUUAUCCUAAGGUUUGUCUACGUAAUAUACUAAAGAUAAAUGUAUAUUUUGUUGGUGGGUCAAUACAAUUGAAUUGAAAAAUGCGCUAACCAUCCUAUUCUGGUUUUUGAAUUUUCAGUCUUUGUAUUGUCUUCGGCAGCUGAGAUAUCAGACUUACCGUGGGCUCUUAGAUAAGCUUCAGGCAUAAAUUUGGUAAUUUAGUUAGUUCUAGGUCUAAUAGAGUAAGGACAAUUAAGUAAUUCUCCACCAUAAAAAAUCGUGGGUAUUUCGUAAUAACUCUAGAAAGCGAGGCGAAAUUUGAGAGGAAAAACCAAAACUGGUGCGCUUUGGUUGGUUGUAUCGCCGGGUCCUCUAUUUUCCUUUCACUUCUUCCCCCCUAUAAAAACGGUCUUUUGAAGAAAGAAGAGAAGCAGUACCACUACCUACUCUGCUAUUAUACAACAGUCACCAAACCACACCAACGAUAACUGCUCCGCUAUGGAUUCCGAUUUCGGCAUUCCCAGAGAACUUUCCGAGCUUCAAAAACAACGAUCUCAUUACCAGCCGGAGCUCCCUCCUUGUCUUCAGG
rnacentral:lncRNA from 1 species